GGCUGAUCCACAGCAGUGGGCUGCUGCAGCCAAGAUUCUGGUAGCCAGGGUUGAAAAGAGAAGGUAAGAAUUCCCAAUGUCUAAAUUGCUGCACGCUGGGUGGCAGGGGGCAGGGCUGAACUCUAUGCUACUCACACACACAGGGAAGGACAGAAGGGAAGGACACACUGGGCAGGUUCCACUCCCAAGAAAGGUGCCACCCCCAAGGAAGAGGCCUGCAGCUUUGGGAAGAGACUCAGCCAAGCAAAAAGCAGAAACAAGAAAACGGGGAAAGGAUGGCUACUUUGAUGGGGUUGGCUUAGACAUCAGAGAAGCUGAAGGGGACCUGGCAGGAGCUGAAGGAGCUGCAGUCCUGUCUGCUGCCUGCCCCAUCAACAAGGUGAGACAGGAAAUUAAUGACAGUAUGCUUGAACUGAAACGAUUCCUGUGCCCUUGCACCCACCUGCCAAGUAUUCGAAAAAUAUGCUUGCAUAGUCCAGGAAUCAGCAAUUAGACACAGUUUGCAUUCAGAUUUUGGGACUCUUGUUUGUGAUCCUCUAAACUUCCUGUUGCCCUGCCAAGCUCAAGUUCUUCCCUCUGAUGCC
rnacentral:lncRNA from 1 species